UCCUGUCUGUCCGCACGUGUUUGGUUAAGGCCGUGCACACUGAGCCAACGGGCUGGUUGCUGUUAGUAACCGCUGUCCGCGGCUCCGGUUACUGUAUAUAUAAAAAAAGCGAAAUAUCUCACCAAGCCCAGACAUAGCUUCUUAAAUAACUACUUAGAUAGCCAUCUUUGCAUUAAUGCUAGAAUGCAUAUUAAUGUCAAAAAUGAUGAUCAGAGGAGAGAUAAUACAACAGGAUUGGGAUGUUGUUUUUAUAAACAGCCUUAAGCAUAUUUCCGCUGAUUAAUACUGACAGCAAUACAUUUCUUAAUAUGUGUAUCCAAGGUAUUGCGUUCUCUACCUGCUGAUCACAGAUAGGCAGAAUAUAUGACAAAAAGCUAUUUAAGGCAUGAAAGAAGAAUCCACCGAAAACAAAUGUGUCCAAGCCCCGGCCUCUGUGAUGUAUAACCUUUAAUCUUUGGAGAUAAGCGUGUGGUGCUGUGCAUAGACAGGUCAGUCUAACUGACCCUGUGUCAGUCUAGGGAGGGAUUAGCAGGCGUCUACCUACCUAGCUCCCAAAGGAUUAAUGAGUUCAGAUCAUAGAUGAAGUGGCAUUAGAUCCUGACAAUAAUAGCUCUUCUGAUGGGACAGAGCUCUAUCAAAUUGGUGUCUUGGCUUUGCUGUGCAUUUUAAUGCUCCAUUGACUAUGAGAUAUGUAUAGUUUAGACUGACUGACUGCUCAGCUGAACAUAUGUAUGAUUUACUAAAGCAAGAGGUGCCAGGUUGUAAAGAAAAAUGUAACUUGACAUUAUUUGUGUUCAGCACCUCUGAAAGCAAGCUGUCAGUUAUCUACAUCAUUAACAGUGUUUUUCAUACUUCAUUCUUUGUUGUUGAUGCAACAGACCUUGUCAGUGAGAUUAAAUCCUAAAUCUCCUGGUCCACACCGGGAGCUUGAGGUUAGAGGUGAGCCCACUUGACAUGUGCCCUUAUUUUGAUGGUAAGCAGCAUGUACGUCCCUCAUUCUGUGUUAUUAGAAGCCAUGUUUAGUGUAGUGUGCCAUAGCUUGAAUUUGACAAAAUAUGAUUAAAAGUCAUGGUUUUGAAUUUCAGUCUGCUCAUUCAUCCUUUCAUUCAUUCAGUUGUUUGUGCAUACAUGUUAUAAUUCUGCUGUCAUUUCAGACCCUGCCACUCUCAUCUGCCUGCCUUUCCCGCCAGUAGUAUCACCUGACCUGCUUCUCCUCCCCAUGCACCUGCUCACCUGUUCCCCAUUCUCUUGUUAGCUCCCUAGUAUAUAUACCGGUCUGUUUCCAAUUGCUCUCUGCCAGAUUGUCCUUGUGCCAUGUGCCUUCGCUUUCCAGCGCUCUGUUCCUUGCCUGCCUGUUUUGAUCCUGAUCGUGUUUUGGACCUUGCCUGUAUUUUUUGGAUUUUGCCUCAGCCCGACCCUUUGUACUUUGUUUGCCUGCUUGGAUUUUCGUAUCCCUGUUUUUUCUAAGACUUACUUUUACAUCUGCCUCCUCAGUUGUGCUCUUGGGUCCCUUUUCUUAGAACUGUGACAGUACAAUCUGGCCACCAUGGACCAGGAGUAAUGACCUGUUGGCUCGGUGAGUAAUGACCUGUUGGCUCAGGCGGACACUCCUCAUUGCCAUGAGCAGCAACUCACCUCAGUGAUGGGUAAAUUACAAGAUCUCUCCAUUCAACGUGACCAGUUCCAGGAGUGGCUCAGCAGCUGGUCGCUCCAUCUCAGCCUCAAUCACCUGCUCCAGCUCCUCCCUCUCCACGCCAUGCUGUUUCUCUGGAGCCUCAUGUGCCUCCCCUAGAACGCCAUUCCAGUGAGCCUGGCGGCUGCCAGCCUUUUUCGAUUCACUGCUCCUUGGCCUCCGAACUCCAGCCAUCUACCUUCCCCACUAAACACUCUAAGGGAGCCUACUUGCUCUCUGACUGAGCUAAACUAUGGGAAACCACCAAGUGGGAAAAGCAGUCAUCGACACUCUCUGCUGCUAAGGCAUUUUCAGCGGAAUAAAGGACAGUGUUUGAUCAUACAGCUUUGGGCCAACAGGUGGUGAGGGGGCUACUAAACCUGCAACAGGGGGAACGACGGGUGGCUGACUUCUCCAUUGAAUUACGGAUAUUAGCCGCAGAAAUUUUUAACAGGCCCUGCUUUGGCUGCAAAACCCCUUGGGGUCCCCCAUUCAGGCCAGUGCUCUUGACAGGCACCUCCUCGCCUCAUUCAUAGGAGUCAGGUAGUCUCCAGCAAGUCAGUUCUCCCUCUCUUUCUGAGUUCCCAGACCCGUCUAAGGUUCUGCCUGAAUACCUGGACUUGGAGGAGGUCUUCAACAGAUCCUGUACCACAUCUCUGCCCCCUCACCGACCCUAUGACUGUGCAAUAGACGUCCUCCCUGGCACCUCACCCAGUAGGGGUUGAUUGUUCUCCCUGUUAGCUCUAGAGUGGCAGGCCAUGGAAAAACAUAUCAGCAAGUCUCUGGCGGCUGGCAUCAUUCGUACGUCUUCAUUCGCAGCAGGAGCAGGGUUCUUUUUCGUGGACAAAAAGGAUAAGACCCUCAUCUCUGCAUUGAUUAUGGAGGACUCAAAGACAUCAUGGUUACCUCGAUGAUAUUCUAGUCUUUCUAGAUCCCCAAAGUAGCACAUGGGAGAACCAGCUCUACAUGAAAGCAGAAAAGUGUGAGUUUCAUGUCCCAGGAGUCAUGUUCUUGGGGUUUGUGCUCAGAGGGGGAAGCAUUCAGAUGGACCCAGCCAAGGUCCAAGCAAUCACAGAUUGGCCUCAGCCCAAGUCCCGCAAACAACUUCAGCAUUUUCUAGGAUGCGCCAACUUGUACAGACACUUUAUCUGGAAUUAAAGUUCCGAGGCUGCCCCUUUCACAGUCCAGAGUUUCAGGAGCUCAAGCAACACUUAACCUCUUUCCCCAUUCUCACUCUCCCAAAUUUUCCAAUCGGGACAUACCUUUAAGGUUAAAGUCCCGAAGGAUGGGUCCCAGAUUCAUUGGCCCAUUCCCCAUCUCCAAAGUCAUUAACCCUGCAGCAGUGCGCCUGCACCUUCUAUGUCUUUUAAGGAUUCAUCCCACCUUCCACAUCUCCCACAUUAAAACGGUCAAAAAAAGCCCCCUGCACCCCACCCCCAGACUCCCACCUCCCAUCCGGCUCAGUGAUAGAAAGCCUGCAUAUAUAGUAGCUACGACCCUGAAGAGCACUCUUAGGUCCAUGCUCAUAACAUUCUGGACCUGGAGCUCAACUCUGAGUUCCAUCAGUCCCAUCCUUACCUGCCUGGUGGGACGUCGGAGGACAACCCUUGAGGGGGUGCUUCUGUCAUGGUUUUGAAUUUCACUCUGCUCAUUCAUCCUUUCAAUUCAGUUCAGUAGUUUGUGCAUAUAUGUUCUGCUGUCAUUUCAGACCCUGCCACUCCCACCUGCCUGCCUUUCCCGCCAGUAGUGUCACCUGAUCUGGUCCCUUGUUAGCUCCCUACGGUCCCUUUCCAAUUGCUUUCUGCCAGAUUGACUUUGUGCCAUGUGCCUUAGCUUUCCAGUGCUCUGUUACUUGCCUGCCUGUUUUGAUCCUGAUCGUGUUUUGGACCUUGCCUGUGUUUUUUGGAUUGUGCCUCAGCCCGACCCUUUGUACUUUGCCUGCUUGGAUUUUUGUAUCCUUGUUUUUUUUCUAAGUAAAGACUCUUUACUUUUACAUCUGCCUCCUGAGUCGUGCUCUUGGUUCCCUUUUCUGAGAACUGUGACAUUAAAUCUGAAAGAGCCCCUAUCUAACAGACAGCUGAUGUUGGCUGAUGAGGCUA